AUGUUUUAUCACUUGAAACAAUAUAUUUAUCCUGUCUUGAAUGAAAAAGUCAUAUUUUGCACUUCGAGCGUUCCUGAAUGUGGGCAUUCCUGCAUCACCAACUACUUCUCUGAUAGAGUUCAGUGUGUCAAAUCGGAGGGCCUCUUGUCUGGACCUCUGGCAGUCUCUAUGGGGGUGCCACAGGGUUCAAUUCUUGGGCCAACUCUUUUCUCUGUAUACAUCAAUGAUGUCGCUCUUGCUGCUGGUGAGUCUCUGAUCCACCUCUACGCAGACGACACCAUUCUGUAUACUUCUGGCCCUUCUUUGGACACUGUAUUAACUACCAUCCAGACGAGCUUCAAUGCCAUACAACACUCCUUCCGUGGCCUCCAACUGCUCUUAAAUACAAGUAAAACUAAAUGCAUGCUCUUCAACCGAUCGCUGCCUGCACCUGCCCGCCUGUCCAGCAUCACUACUCUGGACGGUUCUGACUUAGAAUAUGUGGACAAUUACAAAUACCUAGGUGUCUGGUUAGACUGUAAACUCUCCUUCCAGACUCACAUCAAACAUCUCCAAUCCAAAGUUAAAUCUCGAAUUGGCUUCCUAUUUCGCAGCAAAGCAUCCUUCACUCAUGCUGCCAAACAUACCCUCGUAAAACUGACCAUCCUACCGAUCCUCGACUUCGGCGAUGUCAUUUACAAAAUAGCCUCCAAUACCCUACUCAACAAACUGGAUGCAGUCUAUCACAGUGCCAUCCGUUUUGUCACCAAAGCCCCAUAUACUACCCACCACUGCGACCUGUACACUCUCGUUGGCUGGCCCUCGCUUCAUACUCGUCGCCAAACCCACUGGCUCCAGGUCAUCUACAAGACCCUGCUAGGUAAAGUCCCCCCUUAUCUCCGCUCACUGGUCACCAUAGCAGCACCCACCUGUAGCACGCGCUCCAGCAGGAAUAUCUCUCUGGUCACCCCCAAAGCCAAUUCCUCCUUUGGCCGUCUCUCCUUCCAGUUCUCUGCUGCCAAUGACUGGAACGAACUACAAAAAUCUCUGAAACUGGAAACACUUAUGUCCCUCACUAGCUUUAAGCACCAGCUGUCAGAGCAGCUCACAGAUCACUGCACCUGUACAUAG
rnacentral:lncRNA from 8 species